AUCAGUAAGUAUACAAAGUUUGAAGACGUUUACAUGAAGGUGAUUGCUAGAUAGUAUACUUCAAAAUAAGGUUUCCGUUUUUAUAACGUAGAAAAACUAUCCUAACGCAAAACUAAACCCUAACCCUAAUACUAACCCUACCCCUAACCCUAACCUUUUAACCUAACCCCUAACCUUAUUUUAAAAAUUGAUAUAAAAACGGAAACCUUAUUUUGAAGUAUACUAUCUAGCAAUCGCCUUU